GAUGAACGCUGGCGGCGUGCCUAAUACAUGCAAGUCGAGCGAACAGAUGAGAAGCUUGCUUCUCUGAUGUUAGCGGCGGACGGGUGAGUAACACGUGGGUAACCUACCUAUAAGACUGGGAUAACUCCGGGAAACCGGGGCUAAUACCGGAUAAUAUUUUGAACCGCAUGGUUCAAUAGUGAAAGACGGUUUCGGCUGUCACUUAUAGAUGGACCCGCGCCGUAUUAGCUAGUUGGUAAGGUAACGGCUUACCAAGGCGACGAUACGUAGCCGUCCUGAGAGGGUGAUCGGCCACACUGGAACUGAGACACGGUCCAGACUCCUACGGGAGGAAGCAGUAGGGAAUCUUCCGCAAUGGGCGAAAGACUGACGGGGCAACGCCGCGUGAGUGAUGAAGGCCUUCGGAUCGUAAAACUCUGUUGUUAGGGAAGAACAAAUUUGUUAGUAACUGAACAAGUCUUGACGGUACCUAACCAGAAAGCCACGGCUAACUACGUGCCAGCCGCCGCCGUAA
rnacentral:rRNA from 1 species